GCCACGGGCUCGGGGGACCUGCUGAGCUGGAGGAGGAAGUAACUCACCCCGGAAAUGCUAACAAGAGAGAAUCCUUGGAGGUGGCACUCUGAGUCAGGCAGGCCUACACACUGCUUGGAAGGAGAGGCAUACACAGUGAGGCCUGACCCCAAUUUCACAGGAGUUGGGUAGGAAUUCACAAGCAGAUAUGCCCUGGCAUGACAGGCUAGUCCCAGUUUCUGCAAAGAGCUUCCGUGACUCAGGCGCACUCAAGGAGAUGUUGAGACAGACCCUGGAGGAUACUUGGCAAACCUGUGUUUGGAGAUGGAACUGAGUAUGUUUAUGUUGUCUCAGCCCCUACAAAUGUGUCUCCUCUCUCCUGAAGGGCGGUACGUGGAGCACAUGUGUGCCUGCUUUCAGAAAUGGCCAAAAAGACUCACCUUCCCACACGUGAUUUGCCUGUUCCUGCCGUUGACAUGAGGUCCUGCACCUUGUGAGGCUCCUCCUCAAUGGGCAGCAGGAAGACAUAUGCAGAGAUCACAUGGGGACAGAGCAACCAAC